AUUUGUUUACGAGAAGUAGUGUUGACAAAGAGUUGAAGAAGCGUGAGAUAGGACCAGUGUCCGAGAGUGAGAGAUAUGAAUCUCUCUACUCUGUUCCAUACAUCUAAUCCUCUACUUCUUCCUCUUCAUUCCAUUCCUUCUACAAGGUCUCAGGCAGUUCUGGCUAGGUUUAGUGUUGGUGGGGAUGUUGCGAUUGAAGGUAAGAACCUCAACUUCUCGAUCACAACAAAGCAAGGGAAAUUGGCUCCCAUUCUUCAAGAUUGCUCUCUCCGGAUUCCUUCGGGGCAGCUGUGGAUGCUCCUUGGGCCCAAUGGUUGUGGCAAAUCGACCCUUUUGAAGAUUUUGGCUGGUCUUUUGAAUCCGACAAGUGGUACAUUGUCUGUGAAGAGGCCCAGGAGUUUCGUUUUCCAAAAUCCGGAUCAUCAGGUUGUGAUGCCCACAGUAGAAGCUGAUGUGGCAUUUGGACUUGGUAAGUUCAAUCUGACUGACGAUGAAGUUAGGUCCAGGGUGUCAAAAGCUUUGGAUGCUGUGGGCAUGGUUAACUACAUCAAAAGGCCAGUUCAAACUCUAAGUGGUGGUCAGAAACAAAGGGUUGCCAUUGCUGGUGCUUUGGCCGAGGCAUGCAAGGUGCUGUUAUUGGAUGAGCUAACGACAUUUUUAGAUGAAAAAGAUCAGUUCGGGGUGAUUAAGGCAGUCAAAAACUCUUUAAGUGCAUCUGGAGAAAUUACAGCCUUAUGGGUGACCCAUAGAUUGGAAGAACUUGAGUUUGCAGAUGGGGCUUUUUAUAUGGAAAAUGGGAGAAUUGUCAAGCAAGGUGGUGGAGCAAGCAUUAUGGGUUUUAUUAGAGCCAGACAAUCCUCUUACAUCAACCAGAUAAAUUCUUGAUAAAAAAUGCCAUUUUUUUUAUAUCAACCAGAGUCCAGAGACAAUACUCAGAAUUAGUGGUGCUGAGAUCAUCUUCAGAGUUGAUAAGCAGAGCGAAAACCCACGAAGAAUCACCCGUAAAUCGUAAUAACUUCCUUUCGCGCGACCAAUCGAAGGCACUCUGGUAGGUGAUCUCUUUCGUGCUCCGGUUAGGUUAGGAAUUGGAUUGAGGUCUGUGUUUGAAUG